CGGUGAUCUAGCCAUGGGCAGGUUGAAGGUUGGGUAACACUAACUGGAGGACCGAACCGACUAAUGUUGAAAAAUUAGCGGAUGACCUGUGGCUGGGGGUGAAAGGCCAAUCAAACCGGGAGAUAGCUGGUUCUCCCCGAAAGCUAUUUAGGUAGCGCCUCGUGAAUUCAUCUCCGGGGGUAGAGCACUGUUUCGGCUAGGGGGCCAUCCCGGCUUACCAACCCGAUGCAAACUGCGAAUACCGGAGAAUGUUAUCACGGGAGACACACGGCGGGUGCUAACGUCCGUCGUGAAGAGGGAAACAACCCAGACCGCCAGCUAAGGUCCCAAAGUCAUGGUUAAGUGGGAAACGAUGUGGGAAGGCCCAGACAGCCAGGAUGUUGGCUUAGAAGCAGCCAUCAUUUAAAGAAAGCGUAAUAGCUCACUGGUCGAGUCGGCCUGCGCGGAAGAUGUAACGGGGCUAAACCAUGCACCGAAGCUGCGGCAGCGACACUGUGUGUUGUUGGGUA
rnacentral:rRNA from 1 species